UACGUAGGGGGCUAGCGUUGUCCGGAAUCAUUGGGCGUAAAGCGCGUGUAGGCGGCCCGGUAAGUCCGCUGUGAAAGUCCAGGGCUCAACCCUGGGAUGCCGGUGGAUACUGUCGGGCUAGAGUCCGGAAGAGGCGAGUGGAACUCCUGGUGUAGCGGUGGAAUGCGCAGAUAUCAGGAAGAACACCCGUGGCGAAGGCGGCUCUCUGGGACGGUACUGACGCUGAGACGCGAAAGCGUGGGGAGCGAACAGG
rnacentral:rRNA from 1 species